rnacentral:rRNA from 1 species
GGGCCCGCACAAGCGGUGGAGCAUGUGGUUUAAUUCGAUGAUACGCGAGGAACCUUACCAGGGCUUAAAUGUAGUAUGACAGGUUUAGAGAUAGACUUUUCUUCGGACAUAUUACAAGGUGCUGCAUGGUUGUCGUCAGCUCGUGCCGUGAGGUGUCAGGUUAAGUCCUAUAACGAGCGCAACCCCUGUCGUUAGUUGCCAGCAUGUUAUGAUGGGGACUCUAACGAGACUGCCUACGCAAGUAGAGAGGAAGGUGGGGAUGACGUCAAAUCAUCACGGCCCUUACGUCCUGGCCACACACGUGCUACAAUGGUAUGGACAAUGAGCAGCCAUCUGGCAACAGAGAGCGAA